AGCAGCCGCGGUAAUUCCAGCUCCAAUAACGUAUAUUAAAGUUGUUGCAGUUAAAAAGCUCGUAGUUGAAUUUCGGGAUCAAGGCGUCGGUCGUGCUUCGGUACGUACUGGCGUCAUUGAUUUCUCCCUUCUGACGAACCAUGAUGCCAUUAACUUGGUGUUAUGGGAAAUCAGGACUGUUACUUUGAAAAAAUUAGAGUGUUUAAAGCAAGCUAACGCUUGAAUACAUUAGCAUGGAAUAAUGAAAUAGGACGUUCGAUCCUAUUUUGUUGGUUUCUAGGAUUGACGUAAUGAUUAAUAGGGAUAGUUGGGGGCAUUAGUAUUCAAUUGUCAGAGGUGAAAUUCUUGGAUUUAUUAAAGACUAACUACUGCGAAAGCAUUUGCCAAGGAUGUUUUCAUUAAUCAAGAACGAAAGUUAGGGGAUCGAAGACGAUCAGAUACCGUCGUAGUCUUAACCAUAAACUAUGCCGACUAGGGAUCGGAUGAUGUUAAUUUUUAAUGACUCAUUCGGCGCCUUACG
rnacentral:rRNA from 1 species